rnacentral:rRNA from 1 species
UACGUAGGUGGCAAGCGUUGUCCGGAUUUACUGGGCGUAAAGCGCGGGCAGGCGGUCUGACAAGUCUGAUAUGAAAUCUCCGGGCUUAACCGGGAGAGGCCAUUGGAAACUGACAGGCUGGAGGGCAGUAGAGGUAGGCGGAAUUCCGGGUGGAGUGGUGAAAUGCGUAGAGAUCCGGAGGAACACCAGAAGCGAAGGCGGCCUACUGGGCUGCACCUGACGCUGAGCCGCGAAAGCCAGGGGAGCGAACGGG